ACACCGAACUUUCAGCCCUAACCACCGCCCAUCAUCUUCUUCUCUCCUUUCUUCUACAAUAAGCUUGGAGCCAUUGUUGCCCAUAACCUAAACUUUAUAAACCUAUCAGCUUCCCUCACUCAUAAGUCAUAGUCUUCGGCUUCCCCUCAAUCCCUAGAAUUUUCGAGUUUACAAGGAAAUUGCCAUCUCUCUCUCUGCAAAUUACAGAUCACAGAUUACAAAUUAUUACAGAUUAGAGAUUAUAGAUUACGGGUUCAUUCAUAUUCAUCCACUCAAAUUUACCUUUCGAAGAAAGAAAUUGAAGAAUUUCCUGGACAAUUCCAUUAAAUCCAAGGUUUAUUUAAGCUAAUUACACAUUAUGCUUUAAUAUUUUAAUAUUUUCUGUAACUAUUUGGAUACGAAUUCAACAAAAUCCAUACUUUAGGCUGUUUAUAUGGUUGAAGUAAUAAAGCUGAGGUUUUAGAUUGAUUUCUUAGGGUAAAAUUCAAUAAAGUUUGCAACUUUUAAUCUAUUUAGCAAAUUGUGUGUUUCUUUGCUUGUAGAUAUUUAUUACUUGAGUAAUUAUCUACAUUAAUUUGCCGAAUUGUGGAAGCUUGUUUAGUUCUGUUUUGCCAAUCAUAAGUUUUCACAUAUGGAUUGUCUGAAUAAACAAGAAAGAUGGAUGUCCAAAUGUAAGGCUAUUAGUCGUAGUAAAUUGCCUGAGCUACCAGAUGAAAUUUGGAUUCAGAUUAUGUUGAAACUGCCUAUUAAGCCUCUUCAUAUAUGCAAAUGUGUAUCCAAGACAUGGCACUCUCAUGUCUUGCACAUUUUCGACACCCAGAAGGGAUUAGAGCUUCCUCCUUGUGGCAUUUUAUUCCACAUUAUGCGUGUUCCUGGUGGUUUUGGUUAUGAUAAUGAGAAUGAUGUAAAGCGAGAGUUCAACUGGGUUAUUUAUCCCUUGGUGACUACAAGAUUACAAAGUGGUCCAAGGAUGAUCAAACUGGAAGUGCUACCCUAGAGAUGACUGACCAUCAAAAUACCCAUGGAGAUUAUCAUAAUGGUAAUACUAGUGGAUUGUUGCUGGGUAACUUAACUAUAAAAUUUGGCGGCUGGAUCUCAAAUGCCAAAAAAUACAGGUUAUGGAACAUGCACCGUGGCUUGAUGCUUAGCAUCGUCGAUUCUCAUACUUAUCAUGUAUACAAUCCUGCCACCAAUGAAGUUUUUGUCCUACCUAAGUCUCCUUCUCAACUUUCCAGAUAUCAACCCACUGAGCUAGCAACCAUCAUUAAUUUUUCAGAUUGUCUUUUUCUACUGAAUGUAAUUUCAGUGUCAUUAUUUUUUCCAAGGACACAAGAACAGAGAAAAGCAUGGUAUUGGUUGAGAUUUAUUCUUCUAACAAGCAUCAAUGGUCUGCGUCAGAGUUCCCCCUUGAAAAGGAAGUCUAUUUAGAAAGAUGGAAUGUGUCUGGUGCUGUGUUUCUGGAUAGCACCUUAUAUUUCAUGACGAACAAGAGACAUGUUGUGGCAGUUCAAUUCCAUUCGAGGGACGAAGUAAGCCUUUACUCUAUGCGCCUGCCUUCUUGUAUCAAAAGGGGCUUCGUUGAAUCACAAUUGGAUGUCUCUCAAGGAUGUCUUUAUCUUUCCAACCGUAAGUUUCCGAACCUAUGGAUUUGGAAACACGAUGGAAGAUCAACAGAUUCUGAUCCUUGGAUCCGCAGCUUAUAUUCAAGAAAUCGGGUACUUCUGUAUGCCAACCAGUUGUUGAGAAAUUUUUUCGUCAAGUUGCGAGAGAACAUAUUUCUCCAUAUAUCAUAAUCAUCCAUCCUGAGGAACCGGUUGUUUUCAUUGACGUGGAAUCAUCCAUCUUUGCAUUCCAUCUUUUUAAUGGUACUGUUGAAAAGAUUGCUGAGCCUUCUAAGGAAGAUAUUCUUUUGGUGGGUACUGCCUUCAUAUAUUCUCCAUGCUUUGCCUCAUUGAAGCGUCUAAAGCCAACAAAUCCAGAUCGUUGUGAUCAAUCUAGUUGACCGAGGAUCUUGUCUGAUACUUCUGAAGAGGACAACAAAGGCAACUGAAGAAGACUGAUGCAUGUAACUAGUAUUCCUGAUAUAGCAUUCUAGACUUGCUGCUCCAAACUAUUUUGAAGGCGCACCUUCAUUGUUAUGAAGACAUUGAAUUAUGAUCUAAUUAUACUAUAUUUGUUUGAACUUUUUUGAUAUUAUGCAUUUUUAUAUAUCCAAGACCCGUUGAGAUUGGACUCUGUUAAUGUAAUAUGGUGAAUAUGUGAUUUUUUUUCCUUCACAAUUGAUUGGCCUGGAGAUGCUUUUCUUGGACCAACAGUCUUAGUUCUUAAUGUCUAAUCAUAGGCAUUCCCAUGAAGAGUUUGAAACUUGAAAGAGAUGCUCAUCCUUGUUCUUGAA